rnacentral:rRNA from 1 species
GUCGAGAAUCUUUCACAAUGGGGGCAACCCUGAUGGAGCGACGCCGCGUGGAGGAUAAGGUCUUCGGAUUGUAAACUCCUGUCAUGCGUGAACAAGGUUGCUUGGUUAAUACCUGGGCAAAUUGAUGGUAACGCAAGAGGAAGAGACGGCUAACUCUGUGCCAGCAGCCGCGGUAAUACAGAGGUCUCAAGCGUUGUUCGGAAUCACUGGGCGUAAAGGGUGCGUAGGUGGCGUGGUAAGUCAGAUGUGAAAGCCCGGGGGUCAACCGCGGAACUGCCACCGAUACUGCCAUGCUAGAGUACUGGAGAGGUGACUAGAAUUCUCGGUGUAGCAGUGAAAUGCGUAGAUAUCGAGAGGAAUACCAAAGGCGUAGGCAGGUCACUGGACAGUUACUGACACUGAGGCACGAAGGCCAGGGGAGCGAACGGGAUUAGAAACCCCUGUAGUCC